rnacentral:rRNA from 1 species
CAGCCCUUGACAUCCCGGUCGCGGUUUCCAGAAAUGGAUACCUUCAGUUCGGCUGGACCGGUGACAGGUGCUGCAUGGCUGUCGUCAGCUCGUGUCGUGAGAUGUUGGGUUAAGUCCCGCAACGAGCGCAACCCUCGCCCUUAGUUGCCAUCAUUAAGUUGGGCACUCUAAGGGGACUGCCGGUGAUAAGCCGAGAGGAAGGUGGGGAUGACGUCAAGUCCUCAUGGCCCUUACGGGCUGGGCUACACACGUGCUACAAUGGUGGUGACAGUGGGCAGCGAGACCGCGAGGUCGAGCUAAUCUCCAAAAGCCAUCUCAGUUCGGAUUGCACUCUGCAACUCGAGUGCAUGAAGUUGGAAUCGCUAGUAAUCGCGGAUCAGCAUGCCGCGGUGAAUACGUUCCC